UAACACGUAGGUAAUCUACCCUGAGGCGGGGGACAACAUUCCGAAAGGGAUGCUAAUACCGCAUAAGACCACGCCUGCUUCGGCAGAAGUGGUUAAAGAUGGCCUCUUCUUGAAAGCUAUCACCACAGGAUGAGCCUGCGUCCCAUCAGCUUGUUGGUAAGGUAACGGCUUACCAAGGCACAGACGGGUAGCUGGUUUGAGAGAAUGAUCAGCCACACUGGCACUGGAACACGGGCCAGACUCCUACGGGAGGCAGCAGUGAGGAAUAUUGGACAAUGGGCGCAAGCCUGAUCCAGCCACGACGCGUGUGUGAUGAAGGCCUUCGGGUCGUAAAGCACUGUGGAGAGGGACGAAAGUGCGUGAGUCGAAUAGGCUCGCGUUUUGACGGUACCUCUACAGCAAGCACCGGCUAACUCUGUGCCAGCAGCCGCGGUAAUACAGAGGGUGCAAACGUUGCUCGGAUUUACUGGGCGUAAAGCGCGUGUAGGCGGGCAAGAAAGUCGGGUGUGAAAUCCCUGGGCUCAACCCAGGAACUGCAUCCGAAACUGCUUGUCUUGAGUAAUGGAGAGGGUAGUGGAAUUCCCGGUGUAGAGGUGAAAUUCGUAGAUAUCGGGAGGAA
rnacentral:rRNA from 1 species